rnacentral:lncRNA from 1 species
AUUCAAUGUAGUAAUAUGAUAGUGGAAACUGCAAGUCCUCAGCAUUCUCUUGUGACUCAUCAUUUUUGGAGGCAAAGUUGUCUUUGUCCAUCAGAAACCUUGCAAAUCCUUCGAAAGAUAGUAGCCCCUGCUGGCACAUAUUGACACUGGGUUCAAACUUCUGGAUAAUGCUGAGGAUUUCAUCAUAGGUGCAGUGUUCUCCUUGGCAAUUCACAAGGAAGUCAUUCAGCUGCUGGAUGCCCACACCAAAUACCCCCAGUGAUGUGCUCUCCACUCC